UCAACUAUCAAGCUUGGCUUGUCGUUGGAUCCUUUUGUCACUGAAAAUAUGUGACAGGUCCGAAAGAUAAUGACGGUGUCAUGUUUGACCCUAAAUGCAACGAGCUUUUUAUAGCACGCAUUGAAGUGGUCGGCUGGCCCAGUCUUUAACCAUCAUUUUUCUAA
rnacentral:misc_RNA from 1 species